GGGAGAGCAAGCCUAUGAAUGGACCCCUUUGAUCAAAAAUUCGCUGCAGCCAUUAAUGUAUUGGCUCUCUCCAUGUGUGCCAAAAUCUGUCUUAAAACAAUAGCAUAGCAGGCAUCACAAAAACGUGUUCUGUUCAGUCUGGCUCCUGAGCUGGUGAGAGCAGGGGGACCGGGCAAAGGUGUUUGACCAGACUUCCGGAUUGCGUUCCAGAGCACGAGGCAAACGGGAGAUUAAACUUUAAGCAAGGAGUUAUGAAUUGCCACCCUGCUUCUGGAUGGAAGUCAGAUGAGGACCUGGAAGGUACAGGGACAAGAACAGGGAGAGUCCCUGUGAGGUCUGCCGUAUCUGAGUGCUGUGAUUGCUGCUGUGCUAUUACAUGGUACAGACUGGCCAGCUGUGCGAACGGCCGUGGAGGUGGAUGAAUACCUGGAAGCUGAGCAGAAUCUCUGUGUUCUGGCUGCAGUUACCCAGUGUUGGACGAACAGGUUCCGAGGAUAUCCUUGUUACAUCUCUUGGGCCAAAAUUCUGUGUAGCACUGAAGAUUCUUCAGUGAUGACCUUGUUGCAUUGCCAUGAAGACUUCAUCAGAUUUGGAUGAAAACAAGGAAACGGCUUUUCUCUGAUUUCCAAAUGGAGAAGUAGGAGGAGAAGUAGACCUGCUGGACUACCCCACCCCUCUUACAUGAGCAUGUUGGAGCAAAGGAAAGGAGUUUCCGCCCACAAUAAAUCAGCAGUACACUGGCA
rnacentral:lncRNA from 1 species